rnacentral:rRNA from 1 species
AAUGAACGUUGGCGGCGUGGAUUAGGCAUGCAAGUCGAGCGAGAACCCGCAAGGGGGACAGCGGCGAACGGGGUAGGAAUACGUAGGUAACGUACCCUCGGGGCGAGGACAGCCACGGGAAACUGUGGGUAAUACUCGAUAAACUUCCCAAUCAUUAUGGAAGGGGAAGCAAUGGGUGUGAUUCCACCUGAGGAGCGGCUUACGCAGUAUCAGCUAGUUGGUGAGGUAACGGCUCACCAAGGCUACGACGCUUAGGGGGUGUGAGAGCAUGGCCCCCACCACUGGCACUGAGACACUGGCCAGACACCUACGGGUGGCUGCAGUCGAGAAUCUUCGGCAAUGGACGCAAGUCUGACCGAGCGACGCCGCGUGUGGGAUGAAGGCCUCGGUUGUAACCACUGUCAGAGGGGAUGAAGUGUACGAGAGUUAUCUCUUGUAUUUGACAGAGCCUCAGAGGAAGCACGGGCUAAGUUCGUGCCAGCAGCCGCGGUAAU